GCAGAAAUACAGUAUUGUCGCUCGGGUAGAAGUUAAAUUCUCGAUUGAACCACGUUUUCGUGACAGACAACAUUUCGUUUUAUCUGACAUCAAUGGAGCCAAGAUCGAGGCCAUAACAUAUAUGUAUGAGACAGUCAAACAUUUCGACAAUUUGCUCCAUGAAAAGCAUGUUUACAAGAUGCAUAAUGUAAAGUUCAGUCUUCAUCCGGGUGAAUUUAAUUUUCGUCAUC